rnacentral:rRNA from 1 species
AGCAGCCGCGGUAAAACGUAGGAGGCGAGCGUAUUCCGGAAUUACUGGGCGUAAAGCGCACGUAGGCGGCGCUGCAAGUGGUGCGUGAAAGCUCCCGGCUCAACUGGGAGAGGCCGUACCAAACUGCGGUGCUAGAGACAGAUAGAGGUCGACAGAAUUCCGGGUGGAGUGGUGAAAUGCGUAGAGAUCCGGAGGAAUACCAGAGGCGAAGGCGGUCGGCUGGGUCUGUUCUGACGCUGAGGUGCGAAAGUGUGGGGAGCGAACGGGAUUAGAAACCCCGGUAGUCCACACCGUAAACGAUGCAUACUAGUUGUUAGGUGCCUACGGGCGCUGAGUGACGAAGCCAACGCGUUAAGUAUGCCGCCUGGGGAGUACGGUCGCAAGGCUAAAACUCAAAGGAAUUGACGGGGGCCCGCACAAGCAGCGGAGCGUGUGGUUUAAUUCGAGGCUACGCGAAGAACCUUACCUGGGCUUGACAUGAUAGUAGUACCCUGGUGGAAACAUCGGGGGACCUUCGGGAGCUAUCACAGGUGCUGCAUGGCUGUCGUCAGCUCGUGCCGUGAGGUGUUCGGUUAAGUCCGAAAACGAGCGCAACCCCUGGCGUUAGUUACAAGUGUCUAACGCGACUGCCCGGGGAAACUGGGAGGAAGGUGGGGAUGACGUCAAGUCAGCAUGGCCUUUAUGUCCAGGGCGACACACACGCUACAAUGGCCGGUACAAUAGGCAGCCAAGCCGCGAGGUGGAGCGAAUCCAACAAAACCGGUCUCAGUUCAGAUUGUAGGCUGCAACUCGCCUGCAUGAAGUCGGAGUUGCUA